rnacentral:rRNA from 1 species
UACGUAGGGCGCAAGCGUUGUCCGGAAUUAUUGGGCGUAAAGAGCUCGUAGGCGGCCUGUUACGUCUGCUGUGAAAUCCCGGGGCUUAACCCCGGGCGUGCAGUGGAUACGGGCAGGCUGGAGGCAGGCAGGGGAGAACGGAAUUCCCGGUGUAGCGGUGAAAUGCGCAGAUAUCGGGAGGAACACCGGUGGCGAAGGCGGUUCUCUGGGCCGAUAUUGACGCUGAGGAGCGAAAGCGUGGGGAGCAAACAGG